rnacentral:rRNA from 1 species
AUGAACGCUAGCGACAGGCCUAACACAUGCAAGUCAGGGGCAGCACAAGGAGCAAUCUGAGGUGGCGACCGGCGCACGGGUGAGUAACACGUAUGCAACCUGCCUGUAAGCGGGGAAUAACCUGUUGAAAGACGGACUAAUACCGCAUAAUACUAAAUUACUGCAUGGUAAUUUAUUUAAACAUUUAUGGCUUACAGAUGGGCAUGCGCAUGAUUAGCUAGUUGGAGAGGUAACGGCUCCCCAAGGCAACGAUCAUUAGGGGUUCUGAGAGGAAGGUCCCCCACACUGGUACUGAGACACGGACCAGACUCCUACGGGAGGCAGCAGUGAGGAAUAUUGGUCAAUGGACGAGAGUCUGAACCAGCCAAGUCGCGUGCAGGAAGAAUGUCCCUAUGGAUUGUAAACUGCUUUUGCAGGGGAAUAAAGUGCAUCACGUGUGAUGUUUUGUAUGUACUCUGCGAAUAAGGAUCGGCUAACUCCGUGCCAGCCGCCGC